CUACACAAGGCCCUGAAGGGAAAACCAGAAGCAGGUUCUAGCGAUGAUUCAUCAAGCAAGAGAGAUGAAGAAUUGGAUGAUUUGGAUUUGAGAGCUGCAAGUGCGAUACGGUUAUCAUUGGCAAAGAAUGUCCUUGCAAAUGUGCAUGGAAUUGCGACGGCCAAGGAGCUAUGGGGAAAAGUUGGAAAAGUUGUAUCAAA
rnacentral:lncRNA from 1 species